AGAGUUUGAUCAUGGCUCAGGACGAACGCUGGCGGCGUGCCUAACACAUGCAAGUCGAGCGGUAAGGCCCUUCGGGGUACACGAGCGGCGAACGGGUGAGUAACACGUGAGCAACCUACCCUCAACACUGGGAUAAGCCCGGGAAACCGGGUCUAAUACCGGAUAACUCCUCAGUCGACAUCCUCUGAGGAUAAAAGUUCCGGCGGUUGAGGAUGGGCUCGCGGCCUAUCAGCUUGUUGGUGGGGUAACGGCCCACCAAGGCUUCGACGGGUAGCCGGCCUGAGAGGGCGACCGGCCACACUGGGACUGAGACACGGCCCAGACUCCUACGGGAGGCAGCAGUGGGGAAUAUUGCGCAAUGGGCGAAAGCCUGACGCAGCAACGCCGCGUGAGGGAUGACGGCCUUCGGGUUGUAAACCUCUUUCAGCAGGGACGAAGCGAAAGUGACGGUACCUGCAGAAGAAGGACCGGCCAACUACGUGCCAGCAGCCGCGGUAAUAC
rnacentral:rRNA from 1 species